CAAGAUAUCAUUCACAAAAUGUCUAAAGAAAAACCAAUAAAGCAAAAAGAAUUUAAAACAAAACCUCAAAAUCCAAAUAUGCCAAUUAAUUAUAUGUCAACCAACGUUUUAAAUAACGACAAUAAUAGAAUUCCUUAUGCAAAUACGCGAUUUCCUUAUAAUUUCAAUUCUUUUAAUACUCCCUUUAAUUACAGACCCACCAUGCCUGGAGGUUAUUUAAAUGUCGGGUAUCCUGGAUUUCCUUUUAAAGAUAAUUCUAGCGGAUCUAAAUAUAUCUCGAAUACAAAAGCCAAGAUGGAUACAAC